GUACUCUGAUUCGAUUGUGUUCAAUGAACUCAUUCCCUUAAUGAGCACCUACAUACUUGUCUUAGUGUCACAACACGAAUGGGUUGAGACUUUCCAUCCUUCUAAUUGAAGCGGACAAGGUAUGUACCGGUCUAAGCAUUGUCAGUAUCCUCCGACAAUCCAACGACCAGGAACCUUUUGGACAUAAUGGUUAUGUGAAGAAGGUCUCUGUAGUCUAACUCAUUUAGAUUACUUCUUCAAUCGAUCCAUUGUCCAUGGAUUCACUAUUCAGGACUUAUAUCGUUUAUUGAGAUAGUCCUAAUUAGUAUCUUUGCCUUUUGAUGUAUAAGAAUCAUCCAUACAUCGAUUCAUUUGUCCUGAAAGAUUUCUUCCAAAGAUUGACUUUCAGGGCAUAUUUCCAACAAUCUCCCACUUGCACUAAAGUCAAUCACUAGUGUAUCUUAUACAUCUUGUCGAGAGAGUUUAUGCUCGUAGGUUAACUUGGUUAUGUAUUAAUCUCUUUUAUUUUUAAAAGGGAUUUACUCAUCAAAUGUUUCCAAGACAUUUGAUGAUGUCUCUUUAAUGUGUUCAAAUACUUUGAUGGACCUUGAUUCCAUGGCUUGAGUUAUCGCCCCAUUACGUCGUAGUACUCUACUAACGACCUUAUGGUUUGGAUUCAAUCAUGGAUUCUAAAAGAACCCCUUUCAUUCAAAACACCUUUUGAAGCAGUUUCUAAAACUAUAUAUCUACAUAUAUUUCGUUUGUAUACUUUAUACAAACUUUGCUCCAAGCUUGAGACCAUUGUAGUACAAUACUAACAAUUCAUUCAUAUGAUUAGUACUUCAUCCAUUAUGAAGUUCCAUUUGUUAAAAUGGAUUAUUUUCACUUUGGUUAACAACCUAAGUGAAUGCACGCUUCCAGAGUCCCACUCUGAUGUUUCUUUCUUAAAGGCAAUAAUACUCUAUCAGUUGCUUUGGUUCUGAUCCUGGGAUAUAGUAAUAUCUUAAAGUGACAGCACAUGUGAUUCUUCACUUUUGGAUAUCUACUUCACAAGUCAACACAUGUGUCCCUUUUGCGAUUUUAUGACACAUUCAUUAUAAGGGUUAUGAAAGUGAUUUCCUAUCACAUAGGAAAAUGCUUUCUUAAAUCUUCAACAUUUGAGAUUUAAUUCCCAUAUAACAUUAUUGAGAUAGCCUUGCUAUAUCAGUAAGUCUAAUUUCAAGUCUAUACUUCAAAAUUGACCGUGUCAUGUUUUGUCAUUUUCGAGUAACAUCUAUGUUUCAUCAAGUCUAUCAAAUAGACUUUAUUCACAUCUUUGUUGCUCAAAUUAUGAUGACAUCACUCCCACUGGCCUUGUUGUAACUUAGCAUUCAUUCAAAAUUAACAAUUAAAUUUUCUUGAUUUGAAUGCAUAUUGCUCCCACUAACUUGUCUUGGAUCCAUUGAGAAUCAUUGAGAUCCAUUAGCUUAUUGAUGAUGUUCUCAACAAUUUUGAGACCAUCAACAACCCUAGCUAACACAAGUUAUUUAAACGAAUCACAUACAAAAGAAUUCCUUCUAAAGUAAUUCCUUUUGAACAUGUGACUUGUUUUAUCAAGUCUAUUCAUUUAAUUAUACGAUGUCAUACACCAUACUUCAAGUUUUAGUCAUACUAACGCCUUUAGUGUAGUCAUAUAAGAAUUAUCCAAUUCCUUAGUGGAAGCAUGGCUCCUACUAAGGAUAUAGAAACUCAACCAUU
rnacentral:lncRNA from 1 species